rnacentral:rRNA from 1 species
GAUGAACGCUGGCGGCGUGCCUAAUACAUGCAAGUCGAGCGAACAGACGAGGAGCUUGCUCCUCUGACGUUAGCGGCGGGCGGGUGAGUAACACGUGGAUAACCUACCUAUAUGACUGGGAUAACUUCGGGAAACCGGAGAUAAUACCGGAUAAUAUAUUGAACCGCAUGGUUCAAUAGUGAAAGACGGUUUUGCUGUCACUUAUAGAUGGAUCCGCGCCGCAUUAGCUAGUUGGUAAGGUAACGGCUUACCAAGGCAACGAUGCGUAGCCGACCUGAGAGGGUGAUCGGCCACACUGGAACUGAGACACGGUCCAGACUCCUACGGGAGGCAGCAGUAGGGAAUCUUCCGCAAUGGGCGAAAGCUUGACGGAGCAACGCCGCGUGAGUGAUGAAGGUCUUCGGAUCGUAAAACUCUGUUAUUAGGGAAGAACAAAUGUGUAAGUAACUAUGCACGUCUUGACGGUACCUAAUCAGAAAGCCACGGCUAACUACGUG